GUGAAUGCAGCAGAAGAGGUCAGUUGGUAAAGUGACAGCCACCACAGACCUCUGGUCUGAUGGAGUUGGCUCAGAGUAACCCUCCUUUCUCAUGUUAGCAGCUCUACAACGUUAAAUUUAGUUUUUCCUUUUAAGUUUCUUUUUAAAAUGCAAACUUCACAUAAACAGUCUAGCCCUAAACUGGGCUGCUAUCGGGCAGGAAAGGAAAUGGAAAAAGCAGCUGACAUGUUGUUUGGGCUUUGGGGCGGGGAGGCUGAUAGCCCCUAGACAGAUAGACCAAGAGUUGCUUUCUCACCCUUCCUGUCCGCGAUGCUGCAGCAGAACUAUGGGGCUGCAUUUUUAAGGCACCUUCUGAAAACCUCCCAUCACCUUUGUUUGCACAGAGAAGCAGGUCAGCGAUGAGACUGCCUUUUCUGCCGAGCUCCAUGGCAAAGGUGUGGCUGCAAUGAUGCAUCCUGUUGACCGAAGCUAGUGAUGCCCCCCCUUUGUCUUUUGGGGGCACUUUUUGCUCUUCCUCUAUGGUCACUAAUGUAGACGAACACGACUCAAAGUUCAGAGAACCUGUGAAGUAGACACUUCAUUUUGUUCAGGUUUCCUCUAGUGGGAGGAACUGGCUUCUCUUCAAUCUCUUGAAUAAAGCUGGUAUAAACGUAGAACUGAUUCUCAUAUUGCGAUCCAUUCCUCAUUUACUGAAUUAAUCACGCAAGUCAUCAAGAAAAAACCUUUGAAAUGGAUUGGUUUUUGUCUUCUGAAUUCAUCAACUUAUUCCUGGGUUUACAAUCUUGUAUAAUGUCACAGCUUCUGGGAAGCUAUACUGCCAGCAAAUGAAGAUCUUGACUAAAGAUGGGGAAUAUACAUAUUUCUACAUUUAUUUUUCCUUUAUUUACAUACCCAGUGUGUACAUCAAAAUGAUGCAUAAACAUGAAUAAUGGAUGAAUUAAGAAUGCUUAGCAAUUAUUUUUAACAGUUAAAGAAAGAAAUGAGAAAGUAUUUUACAUCACAGAUUUGUAUGUAAGCAUCAUGUGCUACCAUUCAACAAGACCUAGACAGACUGGAGAGUUGGGCAUUUAACAAGAGCAAGUGUAGAGUCUUGCACCUGGGGAGGAAUAACUGCAUGGAUCAGUACAGGUUAAGGGAUGACCUGCGGGAGAGGAGCUCUGUAGACAAGGAUCUGAGAGUCCUGAUGGACAACAGGUUGACAGUGAGCCAGCAGUGUGCCCUGGUGGCCAAGGUGGCUGAUGGGAUCCUGGGGUGCAUUAAAAGAGCAUGGCCAGCAGGUUGAGGGAGGUAAUCCUGUAAUCCUCCCCCUCUACUCUGCCCUGGUGAGGCCACAUUUAGACUACUGUGUCCAGUUCUGGGGUCACCAGUUCAAAAAAGACAGGGAUCUCCUAGAAGGAUUCUAACAGAGGGCCACAAAGAUGAUUAAGGACCUGCAGCAUCUCCUGUAUGAGGAAAGGCUGAGUAUCCUGGAUCUGUUCAGCCUGGGGAAAAGACAACUGAGGGAAGAUCUGAUUAAGGUUUAUAAAUCUCUAACGGGAGGUGGGAGACAAAUACAUGAGGCCAGGCUCUUCUCAGUGGUGUGCAGUGACAGGACAAGAAGCAAUGGCCUAAAACUUGAACAUAGGAAGUUCCAUGGAAACCUGUGGAAGUACUUCUUUACAGUAAUGGUGAUGGAGCACUGGAACAGACUGCCCAGGGAGGCUGUGGAGUCUCCUAUGAAGAUAUUCAAGACCCUUCUGAACACCAACCUAUGCAACCUACUGUAGGGUGCCUGCCUGCUUUAGCAGGGAGUUGGAUUUAAUGACCUCUUGAGGUCCCUUCCAACCCCUGCAACUCUGUGAUUCUGUGAAUAUUUAAAAAGGUAUGUAAUUUAUCUAGGUACGUAUACAAAAUUCUGAAUACAUUAUAGCAAAAGCUUUAUUUACCUCGGAGAUAAAACACUUUCCCUUUUCAAUUGUUUUUAUUUGCUUCUCUUUGUAAAAAAUCAGAAGAUGUUUUUAAAGUCUUGUUCUAUCCACACAGGAGUUAUGUUUAUCUGCCAAUGAUUAUUCUCCUCAAACGCAAAAGUCUAGAAUCAAAUGUCCUAAAUGUGGCUGCCACUUUUUUUAUCCUGUAUAAUUUGAUUUUUUAACAGCUAAAAAAAAUCAGGGCACUGCAGACAGGGUACUUAAUAUGAUUUAGACUCUUUCCAUGUAUGCUGUAUGAAAUCACUGUAUGAAAUCCACGCCUGCUGGAUUUAUGACUCACAAAUCAAACGCAGAUGCAAUAUUCAGAGUCAGGAUCUGGAUGACUCUGGAUGAGUAGAAGAAAACAUGUCUGAAAAUAUUUUGCAGUCAUUGUGACCCAUAAGAGUUAUAGUAAGUGUCCUACUCCUUGUCAUGGGCCUGCAUGUGAGUUAUGAUACGUCCACGUCAAGAACAACAAACAAAAAAAAAACCCUAAGUAUGGAAACUCAAAAAAAAAAUUGUCAUUUGACUUUUGGUCUACAAAAAUCUGUGGAGCCACAGAGGACUACAGAAUGCGGUGAUCCCCAAAGGCCAUUCCUGAGUAUGUUCCCUGGCCAGGCACCACCACCUCUAGCUGCUCGUAGCUGCUCUUCCUGGUUCUGGUUAUUUCCUGAAAUCACUGGAAACAGAACAUAAUUUUCUAAUAAGCUUACUAGCUAAUUAUGCUGCUAUGUUCUAGUCUCCAUCUCCAUUUCCAUUUUUACCUAUUCUAGGGAAAAAAUAUAUAUAUACAUAUAAACACACACAUAUAUAUGAAAUAAUUUUAUGCCAGUAGUCUAAAUAAAUGCUUUUGUUUUAAAUAAAUUUAAAUCAACAGCAUCUUGUCUUGAAAGCUAAUAACUGCAAGAAAGCACAGAGAAUGUAAGUCUUAGUUCAGAAAAACAGUCACUAUUAUACCUGCUGUUAUUUUACUAGAAUUUAUAAAUGGGUAAUUUUUAUUAUUAUUUUCAAGAAUGUCCUAUGAAACAGAGUCCUUUAAAUAUUCCUAUAUUUCUGGUCCUAGAAUGAGUAAUGACUGAGCUCACAACUGCCUGGAAAUGCCUUCAGUCAAUCAGAAGCACAAAUAAAUCCAUGCCAUAGGACUGAAGGAUUGGACGGACCAAUGAAUAUUUGCACGUGCAUACAAAAAUCCCACAUGAGCAUUUCAGAAGUAAGUCUGAGGCUAAAACUAGCUCAUGCUCAUGCUCUCCAUUAAAUAACUUAAAACAUGCACUUACAAAAUCCCAAAAGUUGAAUUAAUUUCUAUUAUUGUUUGCUCGUUUCGCCUCUCCAAAAGGCCGGCUGCUGCUUCCUGUGUUACACAGGUCUCUACUGCCAUCCCCUGCUUAUUUGUAAAACUGCUUUUAUUCCUGGAAUCGUUGGAGCUGAUCACUGCCAGGACUUGAGCUGAAGAAAAGACCUUCUGUGAGCUUCUCUAGAGAAAUGCUUUUUAUUUUGUCAAAAUUAAGAGAUCACGCACAUCUUUUGUCUUGGC
rnacentral:lncRNA from 1 species